AAGCGAGAACUGGACGGAAUUCAGGUGGAAUUGCAAGCAACAGAUCCAACUGAGAUGGGUCUCGAUGUGUUCAAAAGCCGUGCUAACUGAAUACGGUUCUUUUAGGCAUCUGCAACCGGGAAGCUUCCUUCCUUCCUACAGUAUGUCUUUACUUAAGUGAAAUGUUUAUAGGUUUCGAAACGGCAAACUCGGGAUUUCCGAGUUAUGCCAUAAGACUUUUAUCAGUCUCGAUGAUGAUAAACCCGUAGUUUCGGGUAUAUGUGAUUUGUUAUCUAUAGAACCUAUGUGUUGAGUGCCUUUGUGUAGUCUUUAUCUCUUUCAACGCUAAAUGCAACUGUUUGUGAGGGUUAGACGACACAUUUAGUUCGUUUUCAAAGUUUUUUUUUUUAAUUUUCUUUGAAUAUUGACCCUUGUUUAUUGUUUCGGAGUGUUAAAGAGGGCAUGCUUUUAUGUCUUUCAAGUCACUGAUUCUUUUUGCCAUUAUUUAUGACACUGGAUUUGAUUGCAAAUUUAUUUGUACAAUAUUUUUUGCUGGUUGAUUUUUUUGCUUGAUUCAGACUUCUUUAUGUUUUGUUUUGGUCAUUUAACUUCAAAAUGUUAAAAAACAUCAUUAAAUUAUUUAAAAAAAUUCAUUUAAGUUAUAAAAUGGUUGUUAAAAUUGUUCUAUGAUAUUUUCUGUUUACAUUGUUUGUACCAAUUAAAAAUAAUUUUUUUUUAGUUCAAUUUUUUUUAUAAAAUAUUUUCGGAUGUCACAGAUUUAUAAAUUUAAUAGAUUUAUAAAAUAUCUUAGCAAUAAAUUUGUGAAUCAGAUUUUAAAUAAGAUUUUAAAAAAAAUAUCUUAAUGUGUUAAAUAAAAUGUUUUUGAAUAAUUUAAUAAUUUAAAUGAAUUUCGUUUAAUCUAAGUAAUGGAUUUGGAUGCCAACUUUGAAUGUUAGUAAUGAUGUUUUAUCAUGUUCUCAACUAAUGGGCUUCGCUUGCUUUGCCGGCUAGGCUCAUCAAUAUCCCCAACAUACUCUUCACGUUAUAACAUUCAAAAUGUAUCAAAUUAAAUAUAUAGGAUAUUAAAAUUAAAAAGAAAUUAUUUAUGAGUUGAUCUCGAAUUAAUUUGUAACAUCAAUUUAACGUAAAAAUUGAUUAAAUUAUUUAUGAAUUUCGCAAUUAAGUCAACUUUAGUACUUAAGCUUGAAAAUUAAAUCUAUUUUAAUCUAUAAAUUUUUAAAAAAUAUAAAAAUUCGGUGAUGUGUAUUUUAAUAGUGUGCCACGUCAUUAGAUCUAUUUUUUUAAGUGAUGAUAUAAUACGAUGCUAAAUUACCAUAUCAAAUCAUCGAACUUUUACAUUUUUUCAAAUUUUGGUUCGAAAUAGAUUUUUUAUCAAGUUCACGGGUCAAAAACUAUAUUAACCCUUUAAAAAAAUAAAAAAUUAGAUUGUAAAAUUCAGCCGAGUCAAACGAAGCCGCCAACGAGUGAAGUUGUCUAUUAGCCGAGUCCAUAAAAUACAGCGCGGCUUAAUCAUGACCACAACACAAAAACCCGUGCCCUUUAGAACCGAACACGACGUGGCAACACAGGAUUAGGCGAAGAAAUGUUUCGUACGAUAACCUAAUGUUCAAAUACAAACACCCUAUUAAUUCUCAACUCAACUGGGGCAAGUUUUCACCGAAAUAAAAGGACCUUUGCCCCUCCCCACCGUUUUUCAACCCUCGUCAUCGGAAGAGCUUUCCUUUUUCUCUCUCUAUAUUUUCUCAUCUCCUUUUCCACCGCCGUCGAUCUCGAUCCGUAUCCCCGUUUUCAAAAAAGCUCCAAAAAGAUGGUAAUGUUUCAGCUGCCUUUUUUUUUUAAAAAAGUUUAAAAUUAAUAGUUUAUCCUUGAAUUAGAUCGUAUUUCUGAUAUUUUUGUGUAAUUUCUUAGCAAUCCGACUGGAUCGUCUUUUUCUUUUGUUGAUUUUUUAAGUUUUAAAUUAAUAGUUUAAGCUUGAAUUUAAUCUUAUUUCUGAUUUUUAGUGUAAUUUCUUAGCAAUCCGAUUGGAUCUUUUUUUUUUGUUUAUUCUUGAAUUUAGUCGAUUUUCUGAUUAUUUUUGUGUGAUUUCUUAGUAAUCCGACUGGAUCCUUACUUUUAAGUUUAAAAUUAAUAGUUUAUCCUUUAAUUGAAUCGUAGUUCUGGUAUUUUUGUGUAAUUUCUUAGCAAUUCGACUGGAUCGUCUUUUUUCUUGUUGAUAUUUUUGUGUAGUUUUAAAUUAAUAGUUUAUCCUAGAAUUAAAUCAUAUAUCUCUGGUAUUUUUGUGCAACUUCUUAGCAAUUCGACUGGAUCGUCUCUUUUCCUGUUGAUUUUUUUUUGUAGUUUUAAAUUAAUAGUUUAUCCUAGAAUUAAAUCAUAUCUCUGGUAUUUUUGUGUAAUUUCUUAGUAAUCCAACUAGAUCCUCUCUUUUUUUUUUGUUGAUUUUUCUUUUUUAAUUUUGUGUUUGAUCGGUUAAUUCAUCUCUGCAUUGAUGCUUGAAAAUCCCCGGAAAUUUUUGAGUGUCUGGAUCUUAGGAUUUUAAAUCUGUAGUUAAUGAUUUGAUUUGAUUUCGAUGAAAUUAGAUGUACUAAUUUGUGCUGAAAAUGGAAUCAUUACUGGUCUAGCUUCUUGUCUCUUUAGCUGGUUGAUUUUACUGAAUUUGCUGUUAAUCUAAAUACGUAUCGGUUUCUACUUUAUGAAUACUCUAUUUUUAACUGUUUUUCUUUGACACUGACUUUUUAUUUUACUUGUUUAAUAUAUUAAUCUAAUUUGUCUGCGCUUGUAAUUUGGAUCCUUGUAUUUUUGUUGUUAUUAUUAUUUUCUUAUUUUUACUGAAACCAAAGAAAAUCUUAUUUUAUAUAUCCAAACAUAAUAUUAUGGUUUUAUGAUCAUAAACAAUAAACACGCCCCAUUGUGAAGCUCAACUAGCUGAUUUAGGAUGUUCUAAAGGCAAUGUAAGAUGAGCUCUGCUUCAUCCUAAAGAUAUUGACACAUGAUGUUAUACCAGCAUAGGGGGCCAUUGCAAGAGAUCAAGUUAGAGUGUAAAGGGUAUUUAAGUGUAGCUUUUGUUUUCUUUCUUUAUUGUUCAAUUUUUUAGGAUCAAAUCAUGGAUAUAUAGAUUAUUGGAAUGGUUGAUUUUUUUUCUUCAUUUAUCGUUCCUUUGUGUUCUAUUGAUGUUAUUAAACAUUGGGACUGCUUUUGAUAUUUGUUUUCUCAUGUGGUAUUAUUUUAUAUCCUAGGCCAAUGCUGCAUCGGGAAUGGCUGUGCAUGAUGAUUGCAAGUUGAAGUUCCAAGAACUUAAGGCAAAAAGAACCCACCGCUUUAUUGUUUUCAAAAUCGAGGAGAAGCAGAAGCAAGUUAUCGUGGAGAAGCUUGGUGAGCCAACUGAGAGCUAUGAAGAUUUUACUAAAUGUCUUCCCGCUGAUGAAUGUCGUUAUGCUGUGUACGAUUUUGAUUUUCUAACAGCCGAGAACGUCCCAAAGAGCAGAAUCUUUUUCAUCGCAUGGUACUGCAAUGUUUCUUAAUCGUGGGGUUCCAUUGUUUCCUUUUAUUACUUACUAUAUAUUGUUGUUGUCCUAUGAAGGUCUCCCGAUACAUCAAGGAUCAGGAGCAAAAUGAUAUAUGCUAGCUCCAAAGACAGAUUCAAGCGAGAACUGGAUGGAAUCCAAGUGGAAUUGCAAGCAACAGAUCCAACCGAGAUGGGUCUUGAUGUCUUCAAAAGCCGUGCUAACUGAAUACAGUUCUUUUAGGCUUUUGCAACAGGGAAGCUUCCUUCCUUCCUUCCUACAGUAUGUCUUUUACUUAUGUGAAAUGUUUAUAGGUUUCGAAAUGGCAAAACUUGGACAAUUACCGAUUUC
rnacentral:lncRNA from 1 species